AGGGAGGCAGGCGAGGCGAGGCAAGGCAAGGCAGGGCGGGCGGGCGAGUGAUAGCUAGCUAGGCGAUAGGGAGCGGGAGAAGAAGGGAACCAGAGCCGAGCAGGGCAUGAAGAUGGCGGACGCCAAGCAGAAGCGGAACGAGCAGCUGAAGCGCUGGAUCGGCUCCGAGACCGACCAGGAGCCGCCGGUGGUGAAGCGCAAGAAGACCAAGGUGAAGUUCGACGACGGCGCCGUCUUCCUGGCCGCCUGCUCGAGCGGAGACACCGACGAGGUGCUCCGGCUGCUGGAGCGAGGCGCCGACAUCAACUACGCCAAUGUGGACGGGCUCACCGCGCUGCACCAGGCUUGCAUAGAUGAUAAUGUAGAUAUGGUGAAAUUUCUGGUGGAAAAUGGAGCCAGUAUUAAUCAACCAGAUAAUGAAGGCUGGAUACCUCUACAUGCGGCUGCUUCCUGUGGAUAUCUUGAUAUAGCAGAAUAUUUAAUUAGUCAUGGAGCACAUGUAGGAGCUGUAAAUAGUGAAGGGGACACUCCAUUAGAUAUUGCUGAAGAAGAGGCAAUGGAAGAGUUGCUUCAAAAUGAAGUGAAUCGGCAAGGGGUUGAUAUAGAGGCAGCUCGCAAAGAAGAAGAACGAAUAAUGCUUAGAGAUGCAAGACAGUGGCUUAACAGUGGUCACAUAAAUGAUGUUCGGCAUGCAAAAUCUGGUGGCACAGCACUCCAUGUAGCUGCUGCUAAAGGGUAUACAGAAGUAUUAAAACUUUUAAUACAGGCUGGCUAUGAUGUAAAUAUUAAAGAUUUUGAUGGCUGGACACCACUUCAUGCGGCUGCUCAUUGGGGUAAAGAAGAAGCAUGUCGAAUAUUGGUGGAAAACUUGUGUGAUAUGGAGACUGUUAACAAAGUGGGUCAGACAGCAUUUGAUGUAGCAGAUGAAGACAUUUUAGGAUAUUUAGAAGAACUUCAAAAGAAACAAAAUAUGCUUCAUAGUGAAAAAAAGGAGAAGAAAUCACCCCUUAUUGAAUCUACAGCAAACAUGGACAACAAUCAGUCUCAAAAACCGUUUAAAAAUAAAGAGACUUUGAUCAUUGAGCAAGAUAAGAAUGCAUCAAACAUUGAGUCUCUAGAGCAAGAAAAAGCUGAUGAAGAGGAAGAAGGAAAGAAAGAUGAGUCCAGUUGCUCUAGUGAAGAAGAUGAGGAAGAAGACUCCGAAUCUGAAGCAGAAACAGACAAGAACAAACCUACAACAAAUAAUUCAAAUACCACCAAUGUGCAAGCUGCUCCUAUAGCUGUGACAACACCAUCAGUUACUACUGGUCAAGUGACACCUACAUCCCCCAUUAAGAAGUUCCCAACUUCAGCUAAGGUUUCUCCCAAAGAAGAAGAGAGAAAAGAUGAGUCUCCUGCUUCAUGGAGACUAGGUCUUCGAAAGACUGGCAGUUAUGGGGCACUGGCAGAGAUUACAGCUAGCAAAGAAACUCAGAAAGAAAAGGAUUCGACAGGAGUUAUGCGAUCAGCUUCAAGCCCUAGAUUGUCCUCUUCAUUAGACAACAAAGACAAGGAUAAAGAUACAAAAGGAACUAGGCUUGCAUAUGUUGCUCCUACAAUUCCAAGAAGGCUGGCCAGUACAUCUGACAUUGAAGAGAAAGAAAACAGGGAUACGUCAGCCAGUUUAAUACGUGGUAGUGGUUCUUACACAAGAAGAAAAUGGGAAGAAGAUGCAAAGAAAAAUAUCUCAAAUGAAGGAUCUUCACCACUAAACACAACCUAUCAAAGAAGUGCUUCCUUUGGUAGAAGACAAGAUGACUUGAUUAGUUCUAGUAUUCCAAGUAUUACGUCAGUAUCAACAGUUACCUCCCCUGCUGGUCUUCAGAAAAGCCUGCUUUCCAGCACAAGCACUGCUACAAAGGUUACAACGGGUUCAGCAACAGCAGGCAUACAAAGCAGUACCUCAAAUCGUUUAUGGGCUGAGGAUAGUACUGAGAGAGACAAAGACAAUGUUCCUACGGCAGUGACCGUUCCUGUUGCACCAUCAAUUGUAAAUACUGCGACUACCACAGCCUUGACUACAACUACUUCUGGCACUGUGUCCUCAACUUCAGAGGUCAGGGAGAGACGCAGGUCAUACCUCACUCCAGUUCGGGAUGAAGAAUCUGAAUCCCAAAGAAAAGCUAGAUCAAGGCAAGCAAGGCAGUCCAGAAGAUCCACUCAGGGGGUAACGCUGACUGAUCUUCAAGAAGCUGAAAAAACUAUUGGCAGAAGUCGUGGUACACGAACCAGAGAGCAAGAAAACGAAGAAAAAGAAAAGGAAGAAAAGGAAAAACAGGACAAAGAAAAACAGGAAGAAAAGAAAGAAUCUGAAUCGAAAGAUGAUGAUUAUAGACAAAGAUACACACGGACCAUAGAGGAGCCAUAUCAUCGCUAUAGAACUACACCUACAACUACUUCAUCAACUUCUUCAGUUGCCACAUCUAGUUCUUCAAGCCAACUAAACAGACCAAACAGCCUUAUAGGUAUAACUUCUGCUUACUCCAGAAGUGGAGCAAAGGAAAAUGAGAGAGAAACAGGGAAGAAAGAAGAAGAAAAAGAAGAAGAUAAAUCACAGACAAAAUCAAUAAGGGAAAGGCGACGGCCAAGAGAAAAACGAAGAUCUACAGGAGUUUCUUUUUGGACUCAGGAUAGUGAUGAAAAUGAACAAGAACACCCAUCUGAUUCAGAAGAGGGAACAAAUAAAAAAGAAACACAGAGUGAAAGCAUUUCAAGAUAUGACACAGGAUCAUCAGGAGAUCGUUACGAUUCAGUACUAGGACGGACUGGAUACAGUUACUUGGAAGAUCGCAAAUCAUAUUCCAGCAAGCUAGAAAAAGAAGAUACAGCAGAUUUUAAAAAGCUUUAUGAACAGAUUGUAGCUGAAAAUGAAAAAUUGAAAGCACAGUUGCAUGAUACCAACAUGGAACUGACGGAUCUCAAACUACAGUUGGAAAAGGCAACUCAGAGGCAGGAAAGAUUUGCUGAUAGGUCUCUGCUAGAAAUGGAAAAAAAGGGUGACCGACAAGAGUCAGUAUCCUCGCAGCGGAAAGAAGAGCUCUAGAAAGGCGGAUAUCUGAAAUGGAAGAGGAACUCAAAAAUACAUUUCAAGUAAAGCAUGUUCAGGCUUUGGAGGCAUUUAAAUGAGCGACUGCUGACUGAGAAUAGGGCCUUGACCAGAGUGGUUACCAAGCUGUCAGGUGCCUGCAGGCACCGACAUUCUGUGGACUUAUGCUACCAGACCUGAAGGCCGAUAACCAGAGGCUAAAAGAUGAAAAUGGGGCUUUGAUCAGAGUUAUCAGCAAGCUUUCCAAAUAAAAUUGUUUACUCCAGCUGCAAAUCAUGGGAAUGCACAUAAUUAGUAUCUCCAGUGGACCAUAGCAUGGAAGUCACUGGAAGUCUGGGAAGAUUUCUUGGAGACUGUCAUUUUCAGAUAUUCUGCCAAAUGCCCUCUUCCCUGGGGGUGUGUUUUUUUUAACCAAGAUCAUUGUUUCAUGUGUUAAAGCAGCUGCUGAGAAGACAUAAUGACUGAGAAAUCUUGUUUACAGCUACUGCAUAUAAGGAAAGUGUUCAAGGCCAGAUAAGCCUCAGAUAUUUAACCAGUAAGCCUUAGUUGUACAUAAACACAUGCAUCAAAAAAAGCUUUCUGCUACCACAGACAGUUACUUUUAUUUUGUUGUGUCACAGUUCCUGGUUUUUUUCCCUAUCCUGCAGUUUUUCUCUCUUACAUCUUAAGUUUGGAUUUGUGUGUAUUUCCUUCUAAUUAUUCAUAUACCAGAUUUUUUCGUUGUACAGUAUUUUCACAGCUUUACAUUUACACACCCCUUUAAAAAUGCAACAUGUAGCUAACUAAGCCUGUAUUGUCCAGCCAGCCACCCCAAAACAGAGAGGUUUUGUGGAACCUUUGCUUUCACUGUUGUGCAAUAUGCAUUAUUUCCUAUAAAAGAUGCUUUAAAAGUCAGUUGCAAGUAGAUUGGUUAUUUUAAAAUUCCUGUCUUCUGCCUUUAUUGGUCACUUUUUAAAAGAAAAGAAAAAGGUUUGUAGUGCAAGUUGUUAGAUCCUGUAACCAUCACCUUCAUUUUAGCAGGUACUAAGUGAUGCUGUAUAUAUUAAUGUAUAUUGUUUGGAGUUUUCAGACCACCACUUGACAUGCUUGAAUAUAUUUCCCUAUUGCAAUUGUGUGUUAAAACAAAAUUGGCUGCUCCACAGUAGUGUUUAACAAAGUCCAUUUGGUUUAAAUUUAGAAAUUCUACUUGGUAUGGAGUCAGUCUUUACAAAAAAUUGAAACUAAAAACAAUAUUUUAUCCCCUUCCAUUUUUUAUUUGAGUGAUCACCCAUAAUAAAACUUAAGUAUAACUUCUUCACUACAUUUCACAUAUCUGUGUUUGAGUGCUGUCUGAAACUGUUGUGCUAGCCAAAGUAAUCUUUAAGUCAUUUGAAAGCCCUAACCUAUUCAUUUACGUGCACUGCUAAUGCCAUGUGAAGAGGCAUCUAAGUUGAUACCACCACGUUCAGACCAUUUUAUACAUUUCAGUGGCCUUUUAAAAAGUACUCCAGUGAAGAUAGCUUUUGUUAGAAAACAAACAGCUUUUAUAUUUUCACUAAAACCUACUAAAUAUAACCAUCUUCUGGCCUACAGACUAUUGCCUAAAAACCACUGAACAGCUCAGCCAUUAAAAUAAAUUGUAUAUUGUAAAGCUUGUAGUAGCUAUUGUAUUAUUGAUUAUAUUGUAUACUAUAUUAAAUGUGAAUUUGUACCCCUUCAUUUUAAAAGGUCAUUGUGUUCUACUUCCUACUUCUUGGGGAUGGGACUCACUUCAUUUUGGGGUGGGCAAAAGAGAACAACUGUUUGGGGCAAGGAGGACGUGAGUCCCCUUCAUAGGGUUGGGUGAUUUGGGGAGGGGGGGAGGGAGGUUUUUUGAAGAUGUAAGGUUUUGCUCUUACUACCAAGCUCAGGAUUCUUGAUUUUAAAGGUACAAGGAUAGUUCUGGGAUAUCUUGUUACAGUAGGUCUGUAUGAGUCAUAAGUUUGAAGGUGGACAUAUUUCAUGGUCUUAAGCUAAUACAAACCAAGCAGAGAAAAUAUCCAUCUGAAUGGCUGCAACACGCUGCAUAGUGUUGUUGAAUUGUUAGGCAUACUGUGGAUUAUAUUUGGUCAAGUUCUGGAUGCCUGUGAAUGAUUAAAUGUGUAUCUAAUAUUUUAGUGUUUUAUAUAUAGGUUAUUUAUUCUUUAAAAACUGAAUGGCUACUGUGUUACGUUGAUUUUAUUGGUAGUAUUGAGCAGACCUUGCAUCUGCAUGAAACUACUUGCAAAACCCACUAUUUUGCAAAAAAAAAAAUGUAUUUUGACAUAUACAAAUAAAAUGAAUAAAACUAUUUUAAAUGUGUGGAUUUCACUGAGAAGACAUUUUAAACGUGAAUUUGGUAUUUAAAUUCUUUGUGGGCAUUUUUUUAUUGCUUCACUGGGAUGCAAAGUACUUUUCAGAGAUUGUAAUCAAAUUGUGUUUGCACAGCUGUAAAUGCAAAAGUAAAAAUGCCAUAUUUAUGCAAUCUGUAACAAAAUUGAAAAAUGUUUAUAUAUUUUACAUAAACCUGUCUGCAUGGAGAAACUA